UCCAGAGUCCUAAUCUAGAUAUAAAUACGCUGAAUGUUAUGAAUGUAGUUUCCUAAACUGAGCCCUACAUCUGCGUCCUCAUCUGUGAGAUAAAGGUCACUCACCACGGCCUGAUGCGGAGUCAUGACGAUUAAGGUCAUUACUUAUAAAAAGUCAUUUUUAUUCCCAUCUGGGCAAAAGUGAAGUUCAAAGUCAGAGUUCCAUCAGAGUUCAGCUUCUGUGAUCCGUCAGACGAUUCCUGUUUAGAAGAGAGCUUUCUAAAGUCACAAGUGUUCUGCAUCACAGCACACUGCUGACUAAUUUGCAUUAAUAACUGAUGGUAGGAGAAAGAACCCCAGAGAAAAAACAGCAUGCCUGCUUUUGCCAAAUUGGAGCUGACCCAACUAGGAAAAAUUUCCAGUGUACUUUCAUAUUCUCCUGCCACCUGUGUGUGUUCCUGCUGCCUAAACAUACAUUUCUGACACGGGGUCUCGGACACCCCAGGAGGUACAAGGCCCUGUGGACUUUUUGUUCCAGGAGGUAAUGGUGCCAGAUCAGAAUAGAAAUUGCAAGACUUGAAACCACCGAACUGCACAUCUGAAGUGAGCUAUCAAACUACCCAGAUGGGGAAUCUCUGCCUGCAGCUCAGCAGUGGAACCAUUGGAACAAGAAAUCACCUGGAAUAUUUGAAUCCGUCACCAGCCUAAUUUCAGAAGAAAUUCAUCAUCAUAAAAAAUUCAUCAUCAGAAGAAAUUCAUCUUUCUAAUUUCAGAAGAUAAUUCAUCAGGUUUAUCUUCAGUGAGCAGUGACGUCUAAUCUAUUUAUUUCGGCUAUGAAAUUCUCCACCUUCUUUUGAACCAGCCCUUUGCUCAAGUAGCCAACAGAAACAAGUACCUGUUGGAAGUUUUCCAUUUAAAGAAAAUAAUCAUUUUGUAAUUUGAAUAACCAUUACUUGAAUAAGUUCAAAUUCCAUGUACAUAGAACUUUAUGAAAUUGAAGCAUAUCACCUUAUUACCUGUAAUUUAGAGAUAAGAACCUUCAUUUUUACUCUCCCCAUCAAAUUUUACAAUCUAGAAAAUUCCUCGUCCUCCUGUCACUUGAGAGAGAUCACAUUCAAAGACAUUUUCAUCUGCAUUGUUCCUUAAGAUACAGGAUUCUAUUCACUUGGAUGGCUUGCUUAUUAAGAAG